UGUUUUUUUUUGUAGUGGUGGGUUCAUUGCUAUGUAAAGUUUUGACCUCUUCAAUCCCACUUUUACCAAUUUUUGCAUCAAGAUCUAAAAACUCCGAAUCAUUGGGAUGCCUUUUAGCUAAAGUUGACUCAUCUCCAGUCCCAUCUUUAUCAAGAUUCAUAUUGGAAAACAAAGAUUUAAUAGGAGACACAUCAAUCACUUUCAGAUCUUCAUCCUUAUUAUCAUGAAAACUAGGAGAGCAUGCUUUCACAAAGCAAUCAUUUUUAGCACGCAUCCUAGCGGUUCUUUCUUUGCACUCAUCAAUAGAAAUUAUCAUGGCUUUGAAAGACUCAUUGAUAUCAUGCUUAGGUGGAAUAGAUCUAAGUUUCAAAGAAUCAACUUCAAGAGAAAUUCUAUCCACGUUCCUAGCCAACUCAUCAAUCUUAGGCAAUUUUUCUUCAAGCAAAGCAUGGAAAUUAUUUUGCGAAAUCAUAAGUUCUUUUACACUAGCCUCAAAAUCAGAGAGCAUCUUAUUGAAAUUUCCAUAAGAAUUGUUGUAUGAAUUACCAUAAUUAUUAGAGGAAUUACUAGGGAACGGCCUAGAAUUAAAGUUUCCUCUAUACGCGUUGUUACCAAAAUUGUACCUACCAACAAAAUUCACAUCCAUAGAUUCAUUAUUAUUCUCAAUCAAAGUGGAUAAGGGCAUAUCAUUAGGAUCAGAGGAAACACUCUUAUUAGCAAUCAAUUUCAUAAUUCAUCCAUCUUUCCACUCAAAACAUUAAUCUCUUCAAUUGCAUGAACCUUUUUACUAGUAGAUCUUUCGGUGCGCCAUUGAGAAUAAUUAACCAUAAUAUGAUCUAGGAGUUUAGUAGCUUCUCCUAAAGUGAUUUCCAUAAAAGUGCCUCCCGCGGCCGAAUCUAAAAGAUUUCUAGAAGCAAAAUUCAAUCCGGCAUAAAAAUUUUGUAUAAUCAUCCAUAAAUUCAAACCAUGUGUAGGGCAAUUACGUAUCAUUAGUUUCAUCCUCUCCCAAGCUUGUGCAACAUACUCAUGAUCAAGUUGCUUAAAAUUCAUAAUAUCGUUUCUAAGAGAGAUGAUCUUAGUGGGAGGAAAAUACUUAGAGAUAAAAGCAUCUUUGCACUUAUUCCAUGAAUCAAUACUAUUUUUAGGCAAAGAAGAGAACCAAUUUUAGCACGAUCUCUAAGCAAAAACGGAAAUAACUUCAAUUUAACAAUAUCAUUAUCCACAUCUCUCUUCUUUUGCAUAUCGCACAAAUCAACAAAGUUGUUUAGAUGUGUACCGGCAUCUUCACUAAGAAGGUCAAAGAACUGAUCUUUCAUGACAAGAUUCAGUAAAGCAGCAUUAAUUUCGCAAGAUUCAGCAUCGGUAAUAGGAGCAAUCGGAGUGCUAAGAAAAUCAUUGUUGUUGGUAUUGGAAAAAUCACACAGUUUAGUAAACAAUCCAACAUACAAGCACACAAGAAACAAGCAAAAAGAGACGAACGAAAAAAGGGCGAAUAAAACGGCAAGCGUGAAGUGGGGGAGAGGAAAACAAGAGGCAAAUGGCAAAUGAUGUAAUGCAAGGGAUAAGAGUUUGUGAUGGGUACUUGGUAUGUCUUGACUUGUGCAUGGAUCUUUCCGGCAACGAUGCCAGAAAUCGGCGAGUUGUCGAGAGAUCAAAUCUUGACUUGACUUGGCGUAAGCCUCCCCGGCAACGACGCCAGAAAUCCUUCUUGCUACCUCUUGAGCAUGCGUUGGUUUUCCCUUGAAGAGGAAAGGGUGAUCCAGCAAAGUAGCAUAAGUAUUUCCCUUAGUUUUUGAGAACCAAGGUAUCAAUCCAGUAGGAGGUUACAUGCAAGUCGCCUUGUACCUGCACAAACAAAUAAGAACCUUGCAACCAAUGCGAUAAAGGGGUUGUCAAUCCCUUCACGGCCACUUGCAAAAGUGAGAUCUGGUAGAGAUAAUAAAGAUAAAUAUUUUUGGUAUUUUUGUUGUAUAGAUUGAAAAGUAAAGAUUGCAAAAUAGUAAACGACAUGCAAUGUAAAUAAAAGAGAUACUCCCUCUGUUCCUAGAUAUAGGGUGUAUAGUUUUUGGCACGGAUAUUAAAGAACGCACAUGGAGAGAUAAUUUCACAAGUUUUGGCCGACAUUACACCUAACUAAUUGACAUGAUAAAAUAGAGGAGCUUGCCUAAUAUAAGGAAAUGUAAUCAAACCCCUAAAAAAAUUAUCCAAACGAGUGGUGCAAUGCAAUACACCUUACAUUUCGGUUUUUUUCUCAAAAAUCUAUACACCUUAUAUCAAGGAACGGAGGGAGUAUAAUACAAUGGAAAAGAGACCCGGGGGCCAUAGGUUUCACUAAUGGCUUCUCUCAAGAUAGCAUAUCUUACGGUGGGUGAACAAAUUACUGUUGAGCAAUUGAUAGAAAAGUGCAUAGUUAUGAGAAUAUCUAGGCAUGAUCAUGUAUAUAGGCAUCACGUCCGUGACAAGUAGAUCGAAAUGAUUCUGCAUCUACUACUAUUACUCCACACAUCGACCGCUAUCCAACAUGCAUCUAGAGUAUUAAGUUCAUAAGAACAGAGAAACGCAUUAAGAAAGAUGACAUGAUGUAGAGGGAUAAACUCAAGCAAUAUGAUAUAAACCCCAUCUUUUUAUCCUCGAUGGCAACAAUACAAUACGUGCCUUGCUGUCCCUGCUAUCACUAGGAAAGGACACCGCAAGAUUGAACCCAAAGCUAAGCACUUCUCCCAUUGCAAGAAAGAUCAAUCUAGUAGGCUAAACCAAACUGAUAAUUUGAAGAGACUUGCAAAGAUAUCAAAUCAUACAUAUAAGAAUUCAGAGAAGAAUCAAAUAUUGUUCAUAGAUAAGCUUGAUCAUAAAACCACAAUUCAUCGGAUCUCGACAAACACACCGCAAAAAGUAUUACAUCGAACAGAUCUCUAAGAAGAUCGAGGAGAACUUUGUAUUGAGAAUCAAAGAGAGAGAAGAAGCCAUCUAGCUAAUAACUAUGGACCCGAAGGUCUGUGGUAAACUACUCACACAUCAUCGGAGAGGCUAUGGUGUUGAUGUAGAAGCCCUCCGUGAUCGAUUCCCCUCCGGCGGAGCGCCGGAAAAGGCCCCAAGAUGGGAUCUCACAGGUACAGAAGGUUGCGGCGGUGUAAAUAGGGUUUUGUGGUGCUCCUGGAUGUUUUCAGGGUAUAUGAGUAUAUAUAGGCGAAAGAAGUAGGUCGGUGGAGCCACGAGGGGCCCAUGAGGUUGGGGGCGCGCCUACCCCCCUGGGCGUGCCCUCCUACCUCAUGGCCGCCUUGUGCUUCCUUGAUGUCCACUCCAAGUCUCCUGGAUUGCGUUUGUUCCAAAAACGAUUCUCCCGAAGGUUUCAUUCCGUUUAGACUCCGUUUGAUAUUCCUUUUCUGCAAACACUGAAAUAGGCAAAAAAACAGCAAUUUGCACUGGGCCUCCAGUUAAUAGGUUAGUCCUAAAAAUAAUAUAAAAGUGCAUAGUAAAUCCCAUUAAACAUUCAAAACAGAUAAUAUAAUAGCAUGGAACAAUCAAAAAUUAUAGAUAUGUUGGAGAUGUAUCAAUGGCUUCACCAAGAGCUUCAAGUUUGAUUCCAGGCCUCCACCAAAUGCAAGCUGGCACCAAACUCCCUCACUUGAAGAUUCUGAGUAUUCAUCUUCAGCUGCAAUUGUUGUUGCGAAUGUCGUCGACGAAGAAGAUGAUACCACUUUGUCGACCAUGGCUACACUGCAUCUCGACUCUACACCAGGCCCCUCUGCACCACCAAACUACAACACCGACCCUGGUCCUUCUGGAAACGAGUAGACGCUCUAUGUCUUCAAACCUUUUUGGUCAUUACUGACAAAAGGGGGAGAAUCAUAUGAGUUAAUAGUCUUCAAGCGGGUCCUUAUGGGUGGUUGCAUUAUUUUGCCAAGUUUUACAACUCUCGUCUUUUGAUACAUUUGGUUCUUUGAGUUGUAACACUUAAACUUGAUGGUCGUCUGCUACUUUUUCUGCUAUUCUGUGUUGCGAUGAUAAAUUCCGCAUGAAGUCAUUCUGCAGACGUCCAUUUGUCAUUAUGCAUAUCAUUAUCUUUCUAUAUGCAUAAUGUAUUGUCUUCACACUUUGAAGUUGGCCUCCACAAAGCAAAACCUGCCAUGUGCAUUUGCAUUCAAAAGAAAAUCGUUUAUAUGCACAUCUUCGGGGGGAGCCUCGUCAUAUGUAUGUAGACAAUACUCACAACACUAAACUUUCACAUACUUUUAUCCCCGUUGAAAACUUCAACUAGUUUGUCAUCAAUCACCAAAAAGGGGGAGAUUGUAAGUGCAUCUAGUGCCACCCCUAGUUGGUUUUGGAGUAUUGACGACAAACUUAGUUGAGGGACUAAUGUGUUUGUGAGAAUUGCAGGAUAACACAGGUAGUAGUCCCAUAUUGAUUCGGUUUACCUAUCAGAGAUGACCCCUAAAAAUGUGUGAAGACAUUGAAGACAAUGGUGGUCUGCGAAGAUAUUCACAUUGAAGACUAUGACAAGAGAAGACAUCGCAUGAAGACUAUGCAGUGUGAAGACAUAGUUGUUUCGUAGUUUCUUUUUCUUCUUUGUUGAGUCAUAGGAACCACCAUACUGUUAAGUGGGGUCCAUGUGAACAAAGUUAGAGUGACUGAAGUGAUGCUCAACCAAAUCCUAUGUCUUCGAGCAAAGACAAUGAGUGCAAAUCUUAUCUAGAGCUGGAUGAGUUAGUUUGCUUGUAGCCCAAGCUAUGUUGCCGCGUGUGUUUGAAAUCUGACCGUUGGACACAUGUCAGUUCCUUAGUGACCCAGGGUCAUUUUGGACAAAUCGGGUCGGGUUGCCUCCUGGCUAUAAAUAGCCCACCCCCUACACCAUAAGUUGGUGGUUGCUCAGAUUUAGUGCACGACUUUUUUUGUUUGAGAGCAACCCACCUCCGAAGCAUUUAAGAGAGUAAUCCUUGCGAGGACAAAGCCCAAAACACGCAGAGCCAAAGAGUGUUAGGCAUCACUGAAGUCUUUUCUGUCCGCGUGAUCUAAAGACUUAUUACACUUGAGGACUGUGAAUCCUCCAGCCGGUUAUGCGUCGCGUUCUGAGCAUCCGAGAGUCAUUGUGGAUUGCCAGUGAAUGAAGUCUGUGAAGGUUUGGAAGUCUCCCUUGAAGACUUACCAGAGUGAUUGGGCGAGGAUUAAGUGUUCUUAGAUCAAGGGAAAUAAGGUGAAGACGCGGUCUUCAGAGUUGAAUCUCAGCCUCCCUAACCAGACGUACAGUUGUCACAACAACUGGAACUGGUCCAACAAAUCUUUUGUCCUCUCCGAGCAACUGGUUCUAUCAUUCCUCUCUCUUUACUUACAGUUUGUCUUCGUGAAGUCUUUGCCCUCUUGUCUGAUCUGAUUGACUUCACAGUGUGAAGACUGUGUACUGUUUGGCUUCAUACUAUCUUCCAUCCUGAUCCAUACUACCUAGUUGCUGAUAGUCUUCGUGCUUUCACUACAUUGCUUACUUGACUAUAGCAUGUCUAGUGUAGUCUACCUUCUGCUGCAUAUCAACAGGUUCAUUUCUAUUGUUUGUCUUCAAAGCACUCAUGCUUUGAAGACUUUCAUAAAAAUCACCUAUUCACCCCCCUCUAGUCGAAUACUAGCACUUUCAGUAAGUAUUUGUACAGAACAGAGAUAGAACUAGAUAUACAACAAUUUACACCAUAUGUAACUAAGAAGAUCAACAAUCUCAACAAUUUUAGUGAACAGAACAAAACUAGAGCAUAUGCAACCAUAGAUCCAGUCUAAUGACAAUAUAUUGUAGAGAUUCACACAGACCAGAGAGGCAAACAAUUAAAUAGCGCCUGUGUCGCGGCGAAGAUGACACCACCCUCAUGAUUCCACAAGAUCAUCCCAGCCCAAGCCAUACCAUUUUCCUUCACAAAGCACCAUCGACAUUCAGUUUAGCAUGAUUUAUAAGUUAUAACAAUAUUAAUUAUCAAGAACUUUGUGGAAGUAUCUUCAUAAAAGUUUUAUUGAAAACGUUUGCAAUUCAUACAAGUAGAUAAUAAUAAAUUGUGAAUUGCACAUGCCCCCGCUCAUCUGUUCAUUGUGCUAUGUCAAGACAUUUCUUUUUUGUUGUAUUUGGGCAAAAACAGUUUCUCAAGAAUGAGUGCGCUCAAGUGUUCGAACUUUUACCUGACCUAAUGGCUUUUGUCUCAGGCCUGCUGCUACUACUACUACUUGAGAUGUGGUAAUGAGCUAAUUACAUGUUGAGUCUGUUGCGGGUACAGUUUCAUGCACAAACUUGCAGAAUGACUCAAACAGACCACUGAACUGGCUGUGCAUUGUUGGUUGCCGGGGGAUCUCUGUCGUGUUGCCGCCCUUGAUGCAUUGAUUUGGUCACUGUCUCCCCUGUCUCCGCCUAGGGUUUUGAUCCUUGUGAAAGUGAGAUUAAAUGUCUGGCUUUUGGGGGCGUGCGUAUGGUUCACAAUCUGUUAUGAUCUUUGUGCUAUAUUCAUAUGUACAGCUCUAGUUUGUUUUGAUUUGCCUGUCUGCCCAUGAUGCGAAUUAAAUUCAAAAAAAAAUGUUUUUGUUUUGGUGCAGAUUGAAUGCUCCCUCUUGAUUCUAGUUGAAGAUCCGCAUCACUAGUAAUGAGUGCGAGAAACACAGAACAUCUGUUGGCUGUUAUAAAGGUUCAGAAAAUAACAAAUUCAGACUUGUUUCAGGGUUUGAGAUUUGGAACAGAGUUUCAGAGUUUGUUGUAUGGUUAGUCAGCUGGUACAUGCAUGCAUGCUAUAAAGAUUAAUGAAAGAAAUAUAGUGUUUGUUCAGCUUGUACAAAGUUUCAGAGUUUGCUGCUAUGCUAUAAAGAAAGAUAUGUAGUGUUUGUUCAGCUUGUACAAAUUUCAUGCUGAUGUGUUCAUGGUACAGAUUACAUUUUGUUUAAUAGAGUAAUAUGGUAUUGGUACAAAUUUGUUGUCCUUUAUAAGUUUAUUAUGCACAAAGUGUUUGUAACAAUAUUGUGUUAGAGACAGGAGGUAGUACAUAUGGUUUGUUUAUUUCAAAUUAUAUAUUUUUGUUACCAUGCAUGCAUCAAUUCAAAUGUCAGUCACACAAGCUGGCUCUGGCUGCCAGAAAUGUCACCCAGGAUUUGUUACUAGUUGAUGCAAGGGAGGGACUCCAUUCCAGUCCGAGAGACAAGAUCAACUACUAGUGCUACAUCUAUCCAUGGCCUUAAUUUUGAAGCAAUCCCUGAUCUCAAUGCCCACUACUGCACAUUGUAAAUAUCAAAUGUACUAUUAUAAUUAUAAUUUGAAAAAAAAUGCAUUCAGUGUUUGCUUAUAAAAAGUAUGCUAAAUCUAUUAUAUAUAACUUGUUUGCAUUUUUCUGUGGAGCAAAGCUGCAAAAAAAGAUGACCUCAACAGGAAACAAGAGCAAUCAAGUUCAAACACACCAAGAAACAAGCCAAAAAUAAAGCAUUUGCAUCCCAAACCACAGAGGAAUCAUUCGUUCAAAACGAGCAACCAUAGCAUUCCACCAACCAAUUCCAAUUCCGAAUCACGGCAACAACUCAUCAUCACUAACAGCUCAACGGUUUCUCCCUUAACUUGCCUUGCCUUGCCUUCCCUUCCCUUCCAAAAGGAUAAGGAUGAGGCUAGGUAAGGAAAGGUAGGGUAGGGAACACGCACGACAACAUAAGGAUAUAGUAGAUAGCCUAACACAGGACAGGAGCAUAACGAUAAUCUCAUAGGAGGCAGCCAGCCAGCAUCCUCCUCUUUUAAUCUACUUGGCCUCAUGCUUGGCCUUGGAGUGCGAAGCUAGAGCGCCCUCACUGUUGAAUGUCCUGCGCAAAAUCAAUCUAGUUAGCAACACAGCAAAUCAUCUAAUAUAACUGUCCAAACAGAAAAAUAGCAACCUACUUGCUGCACGACUUGCACGCGACCGACCCUCCAGACUUGGGCGACUUCUCACUGGUUGCUGGGGUCUUGCCUGCCUUCUUGGCCGGGUGCGGAGUCGCCACAUGGACAGCUCCCUUCUUGUCACCUGCAAACAAACAAAGGCCAUCAUCAUUAGCAAACAACAAACAAACAAAGGCCACAGCUAGCAUAACUGGUUGGUUACAUUAUAUUCGUUCCAAGCCCACAUGCAUGUUAGAGCUCUCACCUGUCUUCUGGCCUGACGGUGUUGCAAUCUUGGCCUUCUUGUCAGUAACAGGGGUCUUCAACACGCUUCCAGCCACCCUCUUCUUCCCAGUCUCUUGCUUCUGAAUAUAUAUAGCAGCAUUGUGUCAGGUAACAAAACUAGCAUCAGGAGGAAAAAAGAAAAAUAAGAACAAACAUACUACCUUGGGUGUUUCUUCUUCCUCCUCAUCAGAGCUAUCCUCGCUAUCAUCAGAGGAGUCAUCACCAUCCUCACUGUCAUCCUACAAUAAUAUGUGACAAACAGCUUCAGUCAACCAUAAAUCAAUACAAAUCUACAAUAAUAAUAGGUAGAUUAACAAUUUCAGCCAAGCAUCAAUUCAUAUGCAUGUAUGUGUACCAUAAUAGGUAGAUUAACAAUUUCAGCCAAGCAUCAAUUCAUAUGCAUGUAUGUGUACCAUAAUAGGUAGAUUAACAAUUUCAGCCAAGCAUCAAUUCAUAUGCAUGUAUGUGUACCAUAAUAGGUAGAUUAACAAUUUCAGCCAAGCAUCAAUUCAUAUGCAUAUCGACCAUAAUAGGUGAUUAACAAUUUCAGUCAAGCAUCAAUCUAUAUGCAUAUCUACCACAAUAGGUGAAAAACAAUUUCAGUCAAGCAUAAAUAAAUCUACACAAAUCCAGAACAGGCCAUGUAAUUAACAUAAACAAAGUAUGGGGUGUCAGUCAAUUAACUCACAGAAUCAUCCUCCAUGGGAAUCAAUGCUCCAUCAUCACCAGAGUCAUCUUCGCUGUCAUCCUCAUCACUGUCAUCAUCAUCAUCGCUGUCAUCAUCCUUCUUAGAUUUUCCCACAUCCUUGGCAGCGGCCUUUGACUUUGAAGGCGCAGCAGUGUCAAUCUUAACCUGCUUCUUCUGCUCCUUGGCUUCAGGUUUGCCUUGAAAAGGAAGAACAAAAAUGCAUUGGCAAGGGUCAACUCUCAAUUUCCCCUGAUGUUCCAUCCAAGAGAGGUUUGCAAAUGAAUUAAGGAAGCACGAACUAGAAGCAAAGGAGAAAUGUGCAUACCAUUUUCCUUGGUGAGUGCUGGAAUGAUCUUCUCUUCCUCCUCCUCAGAGUCAUCCUCAGAAUCAAAAUCCAUCGUGGAAGCAGGGGAAAAGGCAGGUCAAGGAAACAAGACUCAAGUAGCAUAGCAUCAUAUUAAACAUGUAUAUGUGUACUAGACGAGUAUAAAAAAGGAUAUUCAUCUCCCUCGGCAGGCUGGAAAACCUUGUAGCCAGAGAAGAAGACGCUGGAUGUCUUGGAAUUGUGUGACAGCUCAAACUCCUUCUCGAAGACGAGGUCAAACUGGAUCUGAGGGAACUUGUCGGUAGAGAGGGUCCCGAUGGCCAGCUUCUGGUCGCCGAUCUUGACGAACAUGGUUGCCUUGUCAUCCUUCUUGACUUCGCCAAGGGCACCCUGCCAUGAAAACACACACAUAUAUAAGAGGAACAGAAGAGAUUAAUAAUGACCAACAAAAUAUUUCAAUCAUGAAGCAAUACUAUAAUAGAAUAGGUAGAGAAGAGAGUGAAUAGAAAAUGUUGAGCAGCAACAUACCUGGGAGAGAUGGAGGAAGUGGUCAUCAUCAGGUGAAACCUUGACGGACUGGUUAGGCUUAACCUCAAGGCCUGCACAGCACAGUACAAAGGGUCAAUUACAUACAUACAUACAUACAUACAUACAUACAUACAUACAUACAUACAUACAUACAUACAUACAUGCAUACAUAGCCAAUGUGAGCUAUUUUUCCAUGAGGUGAGAAAGGUGAUGCAAUUUUAAAUAGAGGGAUGGAUCAAGACGUGUUGAGAGACACUAGAUAGAUUGAUUACAAAAAUAAAGGACUUGGGGUGGGCUGUGCAAGCAGAAUCCAUCCAUCCAUACAACAACAACAAGUAGCCAAGCACAUGCAUACAUAGAGAAGAAAGCCUAGGUAGCUAGCUAGGGUUUGACCAUGGCCCCAUCCAUCCAUCCGCUAAACUAAUCGUCACCAGAGUCUAAUCUAAUCUAGGCUAGUAGUAGGAUGAUAUACAGCAGAACACGAACGAGCGAAGGAAGGGUCGAUUAUCCAAUCCAAUCCAAAGACGGAAUAACCCCUAAUCAUGGCAGAGAGGGAGGGCGUUCAAGGAAUGCUUACCCCAGAACUCCAUGGCAACCGGCGGCGGCGGCGAGUCGGAGGAGGGGCGGCUAGGGUUUAAGCCGACGGACGGACGGACGGACGGAUGGAUUUGGGGAAUGGCUGACUGGGGCUGGGUGGUGGAGCGUACCCUUUUAAAAGGCCCAGUGCGGGCCAUCGCCGUCCGAUCAUGCGCUCCGCGCCAUCCUGGCCGUUCCUCCCUCCCUAACCUAGACGGUAGACGCGGCUGGACUGGACUGGACUCUUUGAUGCGUGGAUGGGCCGACUGCAUGGGCUGCACUGCGCUGCGUGGCCCUACUACUCCUUGGAGCAUCAAUCAAUUUUAUCACCGACCACUGCUACACGUAUACCUAAUCUUAUACCAGUACCGGAUUUUGAAAGCUAAAGUAAGAUUACGUACCACCUUAUUUACCUAGGUAGGUGUAGGGUUAUUGUUUUUUAAAAUUAACGCACAAGUUUUUGAACUCACGAACCUUUUUACAAAUUUGCAAACACUUUUUUGAAUCCACGAAUAGUUUUUGCAUUAUUUUUUAUGCGAGAAAAUUUCCGAUCUAUUCAUCUUAAAUCAUCAUGAUACAAUGAAUACCGUAAAUAAUAAAAAUUACAUCCAGAUCUGUAGACCACCUAGCAACAACUACAAGCACUGAGGCGAGCCGAAGGCGCGCCGCCGUCAUUGCUCCUCCCUAUCCGGAGUUGAACAAAACUUGUUGUAAUAGACAGUCGAAAAGUCAUCAUGCUAAGACCUCAUACGACCAGCACAGCAGAACAACAACUGUUGCGGAUAAAGUGUAGCGUAGAUCGAAAGGAUCCAACCUGAAAACACAGAACGUAGAUGAACUACGACCAGAUCCGAGCAAAUUCAUCAAGGACAGAUCCGCCGGAGACACACCUCCACACAUUAUUUGAAUCCCUGUACAUUUUUUCAAAUUAGAGUACAAUUUUCCAAUUAAUGAACAUGUUUUCCAAAUUCCUGAACAUUUUGGAAAAAUCUAAGAACAUUUUUCAACUUUGUGAGCAAUAUUUUAAUCCAGGGUUUUUCUUAAAAUCAUGAAUCUUUCUUGAAAUUUGGAACUUAUUUUUUGUCCCAAACAUUUUUGAAAUAAUCAUUAAACAAAAAUAAAAACGAUGAACAAAAAAGAAAGAAAAACAAGGGCGCCGGCCCAAAGUGCUCACGUGGGGUGAAGGUAUCUGAUUGCUCGCUAUCCGCCGACCCUCCAAUUGAGCACUUGGAUCGGGGAGCGCCUCUUCGAGUCUAAAGUUCACGAAUUUGAGAGAAGAUCGUGAAUUUGAACAAAUGUUCGUGCUUUUGAAUAAAGUUUGCGAAUUUUGAAAAGAAAAGAAAGAAACAAAAAAAAACUAGCCGAAUAGGAAAACGAUAGAAAACGGGACUAGGAUUGCGCUGCUAUUUUUCUUUAGCGUUAGAAUUGCCACAUACUCAUUCCACCCUCAAACAAGUGUACAAAUAGAAAUGUAAAACAAAGUAUGGAAUGGAGUAAAAAUGUAUUGGGAAGAUGUAAGCCACCAUCAGUCUCCUCUUUAAUUACCCCACCUUCAUUGAGCUGAGUGCAUGUAGAAAGUGAGGACGCCAUGUGUUAGGGCAUCUCCAGCAGUUUGUUUAUUAGCUUGUUGGUAAAAUAUGACAUGUCAUCAACCAACGUCUUAACAUACAACUACUCCAAUAGGUUGUAUCUAGUUUGCCCAAUAGGAUGUGAGAUAAUAAAUAAGGUGCUCUCUCAUUCUACGUUCGAGCUUGUGCAAGGGAUGUUGGUUUAUGUACAUACAACCUUACUCUUUUUUCUCAUUUAUUUAUUAUAUGACACAUCAUCAAAAUUCUAUGUGGCAAAGUCUACCAACAACUAUCUUACAACCACUGAAGAUGCCCUUAGAUGUAAUUGGCCUUGAUUCCCGUGUGAUGAAAGAGAAGCAUUUUUCAGAUUUGUUUAUUUCUUUGUUUUUUUUCUCCUUUUGUGUAUUAUUAUACAAGAGCUCACCCUGUGUAUUACAAAAAUGUUCACCAUAUGUAACAAAAUGUUUAGUGUGUAUUUGAAAAUUGCUCAGCGUAUAUCACAAAAAUGUUCAAUGUGUAUUUAUAUAUCGUUCAGCGUAUAUUUACAAAACUGUUCAAUGAUGUAUAUUUAGUUCCUCUUAGUCCAAGUUUUUUUACCCUGUACCCCAAAAAUCUUGUUCUAGUUUCAUUAUACUUUUUUCCUGUCUGUUAUGAUUUUGGGGACUAAAUUUAUUUAUUUUCUUCAUAUUCAUCAGGGAUUCCGCAUAUUCAAGUGAAUCUCAAGAAGGAAUUUCUUGCCUUGGAAUUUCAGCAACUUUAGUGGUACAUUAACCUACUGUCACUGAUAUUACAAGAACUCUAGUUUUGCCACUGUGUUUUCUUCGCCCUUGAGUAUGUUUUUUUACCACAUUAACAUAAAAUAUAGUUUUUACAGGUUCAGAGAAAGAUGGAUGAACAGAUUUACAAGUGGACUGGAAUAUCAAAUGCAAACAGAGACAACGAAUAUCCGCCCACUUGUGAAACUAUUUUCUUUUUACAACAUGCACUCCAUUUUUGCUGCUAGUUGUGGCAAAACAAUGUUUUUCCGGAUACUUUUUUGUCUCUGAAUAUUGUUCAAGAAAACUAGAUUCUACCAUGCCCGUGGGCAACUUAUAGAUAUAUACACUGAACAAUUAAUAUUUUUUUGCAUAUUCAAAUUUCUCUUGAGUAUACUAGAAAAUAUCUUGCUGCAAAUUCAUAAGAAGUUAAUUUUCGUACAAAUAUUUAACAAAUUCAGAACAAGACAAGACCUGAAACAGUCAGCAAACAAUGGUACAAACAGUCACUUUUUACUACAAUUUAUAUUGUACUAAAAAUUGCUGAUUCCUUCUCCUCUACAAAAGUCUGCACGUUAAGUGGUUCAGGAAACAAUUUGGUUCACAUUACCCAAACAUUCCAUUCAGGAAACAGACACAUCUAUCACUAUCAGCGUUCGAGGGAAUCUACGGGCCAUGAAGAAUAGCUAACUAAUGCAUGCAAAUUCAGACACACACUUUCAAACCAGGUCAGGUACUCAAGUCUUUCACCUUCUUCAUUGCAAGCCAAGCAAAGCGAGCGAGUGAAUCAACAUCCCUGAAAGAUACCACACAAGAAACAUCAAUCACCUAACAGCUAUCAACAUCCCCAUGACACCGCAGAACCUAAACUAACAUUCAUUCAUCCCAUCUCAUCUCAUCUCAUCUUUGCGACGAACCCUGGGUAGGUUAGGUGGUCUCACUUCUACUGGCUGACUGAGUCGGUCUUGUUGUCUGUUAAUUAGGCCAGUCCUUCCUGAUCUCAAAGCUGUACCUCAUGUCCAGGUACACCUUCCCAUCAUCAUCCACAAACU
rnacentral:lncRNA from 1 species